ACUAUGACAGUAAUGAGCAAUGAGGUCACUGAUGGUCCAUGCUCAAGGUUCUCCCUUGCUCUGGGUCUUCUCUUCUUCCAUAUCACAAUACUUCCUGCUGUCUCUAGAUCCACUAUUUGGACUACAACAGAUUCGGUGUACUACUUUAAAGAGCCACUGUGAAAUUUAUUUGAUUAAUAAAAUGGUUAAAGAGGGCCAGAGUCGGGUGUUUAUUUAAAUAAACUCUUUUUUUUUUUCAUG